ensembl:lncRNA
GGGAGUCUGGAGCCGGAAGACAGAGAACACCAAGAAGGUCAUCCAGUACCUGGCGCACGUGGCAUCGUCCGCCCAAGGGCAGGAAGGAGCCGGGAGUCCCUGGGGAGCUGGAGCGGCAGCUUCUCCAGGCCAACCCGGUCCUGGAGGGCCUUCGGCAACGCCAAGACGGUGAAGAACGACAACUCCUCGCGCUUCGGCAAAUUCAUCCGCAUCAACUUUGACGUCGCGGGGUACAUCGUGGGCGCCAACAUCGAGACCUACCUGCUGGAGAAGUCGCGCGCCAUCCGCCAGGCCAAGGACGAGUGCAGCUUCCACAUCUUCUACCAGCUGCUGGGGGCGCGGGGGGGAGCAGCUCAAAGCCGACCUCCUCCUGGAGCCCUUCUCGCACUACCGCUUCCUGACCAGCGGGCCGCCAUCCACCGCCAGCCAGGAGCGGGAGCCGUUCCAGGAGACCCUGGAGUCCCUGCGGGUGCUGGGCUUCACGCCCGAGGAGAUCACCUGGUGGCAGAGUAUGGUGGCUUUGCAUGGACUCCGUCUUUCAACUGAGCCUCAGGGGCUCCCGUGGUGACUUCGAGCUGCGUCUUAUCCCGAGCUUGCCCUGGCACCUCAGGAGGCGAGGAGCUGUGGUCAGCCAACAGUGGCCCCACCUUGCUUGCUCUGCUGCAUCUCACUUCCCAACCAGGGUUGUGCAGUCCCCAGCCAGCCCUGAAGGUGUCUGCAGCUGGCAUCUGGCAGCAAAUCCAGACCCUGUGGGUGGCAGGGAGGGGUUUCCAGCCUUCCUGCCACUGCCUGCUGGCUGGGGGUGCAGACAGAGCUGGGAGUUUUGCAUUUCACACACAAAAAUGUUGCAGUAAAAUUGUGAAUGUGGCCAAAGGUCACCUGAGGAGUCCCCCCAGCCCCUGCACCUGGUUCCCAUGCUUCUCCUUCCAGGUAGAUUUUGGAUGGAUGAGAACAGACAGGGACAGCCAUCCCUGGUACCCCGGAGAUCAGCUCAAGGGCCCGCUAGAAUACCAGGCGCUAUGGGUGCCCAGGUCCCUUCAAUAAAACAGCACGGUGUUUGCACGUACCUUGCGCAGUCCUCCCAGGUACUCUGAAGUACCCCUGUAUGAUUUAUAGCACCUAAUGCAACAUGAAUGGUACACAAAUUGUUGCACUGUAUUCCUUAGGGGGAGGGCAGGGGAAGGGCUGCACAUGCUCAGGACGGCCCAAUUUUUCCCUAAAAUCUUCAGUCCAAAAUUGGUUGAUGCACAGAUGCAGAACCCACAGAUACAGAGGGAUGAGAUUGUUUUCUGUGUAAAGGAAGGCCUCCAAACUGAUGUUCGGCUGUUCUGGUGAUAAAAAUGGGAAGCUAAACUGGGCGUGGUGGCGCAUGCCGAUAAUCCCAGCACUUAGGAGGCUGAGGCAGGAGGACUGCUGCAAAUUUGAGGCCAGCCUGGGCCACAUAAUAAGUUUGAGUUCAGCCUGGACUACAUAAUCUCAAAAAACUAAAAAGAAAAAAAUGAGGGGAUGCUAAACUGGAUACGAUAGCAUCCGCCUGUAUUCCCAGCACUCGGAGGGAGGCUGAGACAGGAGGAUGACAAGUUCGAGCCUAGCCUGGGCAACUUAGUGAUUUAGCAAGAACUUGUCUCAAAAUACAUUUUUGAAAAAAUAUAGAAAUGUAGCUCAGGUCCUGGGUUCAAUCCCCAGUAUUGCAAAAAAAUAAAAGGGACCUUUAUUUGAGAUAUAACUUAUGCAUCAUACCAUGCAUAUAUAUCCAUAUUUAAAGUGUAC